rnacentral:rRNA from 1 species
UACGUAGGGUGCAAGCGUUGUCCGGAAUUAUUGGGCGUAAAGAGCUCGUAGGCGGUUCGUCGCGUCGGCUGUGAAAACCCGAGGCUCAACCUCGGGCCUGCAGUCGAUACGGGCGGACUGGAGUUCGGCAGGGGAGACUGGAAUUCCUGGUGUAGCGGUGAAAUGCGCAGAUAUCAGGAGGAACACCGAUGGCGAAGGCGACUCUCUGGACGGUAACUGACGCUGAGGCACGAAAGCGUGGGGAGCAAACAGG